GGCGGCGCAGGUCACUUGGUGGGUGGAUGGAUCCCCAUCAGCGACCCGAUUCAGGGAUUAUCUUGAGGAAGGAUUGGCUAUUGAUGUUGAAUGAGAAGAACGGUGCUUGAUUGGUGCCUUUUGGAUAUUAUGUAUGCUUGUUCGCUGCAAUGUAGCAGUUAAGAACA